UAUAAUUAAGUGUAAGGGGCACGUAGAAUUUUGAAUUCUAAGGGUUUAGUUUAAAUCUAAAAAUUAUAA
rnacentral:tRNA from 1 species